GAGAGCCAAAUGAAUCAAAAGAUUCAUGUUUGGUUCGGGAAGAGAUCAUAAACGUUUUGAAAUUAAAUGAAUGAAAAGAUAAUCUACUUUCAU
rfam:Lupinus angustifolius cultivar Tanjil contig_41740, whole genome shotgun sequence.